rnacentral:piRNA from 1 species
UGGCCAUCUACUCCUGGAUGUGGACCUA